GAUGAACGCUGGCGGCGUGCUUAACACAUGCAAGUCGAACGGAAAGGCUCCUGCUUGCAGGGGUACUCGAGUGGCGAACGGGUGAGUAACACGUGGGUGAUCUGCCCUGUACUUCGGGAUAAGCCUGGGAAACUGGGUCUAAUACCGGAUAGGACCACAUUUUGGAUGGUGUGGUGGAAAGUUUUUCGGUGUGGGAUGAGCUCGCGGCCUAUCAGCUUGUUGGUGGGGUAAUGGCCUACCAAGGCGUCGACGGGUAGCCGGCCUGAGAGGGUGUACGGCCACAUUGGGACUGAGAUACGGCCCAGACUCCUACGGGAGGCAGCAGUGGGGAAUAUUGCACAAUGGGCGCAAGCCUGAUGCAGCGACGCCGCGUGGGGGAUGACGGCCUUCGGGUUGUAAACUCCUUUCGCUAGGGACGAAGCGCAAGUGACGGUACCUGGAGAAGAAGCACCGGCUAACUACGUG
rnacentral:rRNA from 1 species